GACGAACGCUGGCGGCGUGCUUAACACAUGCAAGUCGAACGGUGAAUCGGAGCUUGCUCCGAGGAUCAGUGGCGAACGGGUGAGUAACACGUGGGCAACCUGCCCCCCGCUCUGGGAUAACCCCGGGAAACCGGGGCUAAUACCGGAUACGACCUGCUCGGACAUCCGAGCGGGUGGAAAGAUUUAUCGGCGAGGGAUGGGCCCGCGGCCUAUCAGCUAGUUGGUGGGGUAACGGCCUACCAAGGCGACGACGGGUAGCCGGCCUGAGAGGGCGACCGGCCACACUGGGACUGGGACACGGCCCAGACUCCUACGGGAGGCAGCAGUGGGGAAUAUUGCGCAAGGGGCGAAAGCCUGACGCAGCGACGCCGCGUGAGGGACGACGGCCUUCGGGUUGUAAACCUCUUUCAGCAGGGAAGAAGGGAAACUGACGGUACCUGCAGAAGAAGCACCGGCUAACUACGUGCCAGCCGCCGCGGUAAGAC
rnacentral:rRNA from 1 species